UACGUAGGGAGCAAGCGUUGUCCGGAAUCAUUGGGCGUAAAGCGCGCGUAGGCGGCCCCGUAAGUCCGCUGUGAAAGUCAAAGGCUCAACCUUUGAAAGCCGGUGGAUACUGUGGGGCUAGAGUCCGGAAGAGGCGAGUGGAAUUCCUGGUGUAGCGGUGGAAUGCGCAGAUAUCAGGAGGAACACCAAUAGCGAAGGCAGCUCGCUGGGACGGUACUGACGCUAAGGCGCGAAAGCGUGGGGAGCGAACUGG
rnacentral:rRNA from 1 species